rnacentral:lncRNA from 1 species
CUUACCUCACAAGUUGUAAAAUUUACAGUGCGUCAAGAGGGUAAUUGCAACCCGGAUUGCUCGAUGGGUCUAAAGCAAAACAUCAAUGCCAGAUGAAAUACACUCACGACGGUAAGAUAGUUGCAAAACUGGAUGGAAAUAGAUUCCUCCCUCAAAGGAAAUAUGGACAGAAAAACACCUCCUGGGAAGAUGCGACAGUGAAACGUCGAGAGGUUUCUUAGUAUCUUUGAGCGGAAAUUUCGAAGAUGAACGGACGUCCUCGACCGUACCCAGAUCGUGAUCGAAUGUGGAACUGGAAAAUCCCGAGGAUGUCCAUUCUAGAAGCAAAAUGAAGAAAUCCGAGAACCAUGGCGUCUCCAUAGAAAGGCAAGAAGCUGUUGGAUCUUUCUACGUGGUUUUGAAGAUGGACGUAAAUGGAGUGGAAUGGAACGAUUGAAAAGCGAAAAUGAAGCAAACUAUUAGAAAAUUUAUAUAAAUGAAAAUAAAUAAUAUCACUAUAGUUGUUCGGCCGUGUUUGCGAGCAGACGCAUUCGCGGUACAAGGCGUCAACGAGAGUCGUAAAUUCUUGUCUCCAUACGAUAAUCGGCGCACUUUCUUUACUUCCAGCAACUUUUAAAAACUAGAAAGUGUGUUUUGACCGAAGAGUUGUUAACAAGAGAAGUUCGGCGACGGUGAUGACGAGGAGGAAGACUAUUGAUGGGUGUACCUCUGGAGCACGAGACAAGCGGAUGUGUUUAUUGCAAUCUUCGAUAAGCAAGCGAGGACAUGUCAACGGUCAUUGCUGCCAAUUGGGUGAAGAAAGAACUGGUGGAUAAAGAUGGGAUGGGGCACUUAUCCCGUGUUCUACCGUAACGAGUAAUAAGGAGCGUAAGUAAAAAUCUAAAUCUGAGGACGGCAAUAGAUUACCGCGGAUCCGAGUAUGUUUGAAAAGUUGUUGACCAUCUUGACUAAAGGAUGGAUGAGGAUAUAUUCUGGGGU